GGCGUAAAGGGCUCGCAGGCGGUUUCUUAAGUCUGAUGUGAAAGCCCCCGGCUCAACCGGGGAGGGUCAUUGGAAACUGGGGAACUUGAGUGCAGAAGAGGAGAGUGGAAUUCCACGUGUAGCGGUGAAAUGCGUAGAGAUGUGGAGGAACACCAGUGGCGAAGGCGACUCUCUGGUCUGUAACUGACGCUGAGGAGCGAAAGCGUGGGGAGCGAACAGGAUUAGAUACCCUGGUAGUCCACGCCGUAAACGAUGAGUGCUAAGUGUUAGGGGGUUUCCGCCCCUUAGUGCUGCAGCUAACGCAUUAAGCACUCCGCCUGGGGAGUACGGUCGCAAGACUGAAACUCAAAGGAAUUGACGGGGGCCCGCACAAGCGGUGGAGCAUGUGGUUUAAUUCGAAGCAACGCGAAGAACCUUACCAGGUCUUGACAUCCUCUGACGGUCCUAGAGAUAGGACGUCCCCUUCGGGGGCAGAGUGACAGGUGGUGCAUGGUUGUCGUCAGCUCGUGUCGUGAGAUGUUGGGUUAAGUCCCGCAACGAGCGCAACCCUUGAUCUUAGUUGCCAGCAUUCAGUUGGGCACUCUAAGGUGACUGCCGGUGAC
rnacentral:rRNA from 1 species